CGGAGCGUAGCGCAGCCUGGUUAGCGCACCAGUCUGGGGGACUGGGGGUCGGAGGUUCAAAUCCUCUCGCUCCGA
rfam:Hyphomicrobium denitrificans ATCC 51888, complete genome.